GACGAACGCUGGCGGCGUGCCUAACACAUGCAAGUCGAACGGAACUGUUUUGAAAGAUUUCUUCGGAAUGAAUUUGAUUUAGUUUAGUGGCGGACGGGCGAGUAACGCGUGAGUAACCUGCCUUCAAGAGGGGGAUAACAUUCUGAAAAGAAUGCUAAUACCGCAUGACAUAUCGGAACCACAUGGUUUUGAUAUCAAAGAUUUUAUCGCUUGAAGAUGGACUCGCGUCCGAUUAGUUAGUUGGUGAGGUAACGGCUCACCAAGACCGCGAUCGGUAGCCGGACUGAGAGGUUGAACGGCCACAUUGGGACUGAGACACGGCCCAGACUCCUACGGGAGGCAGCAGUGGGGGAUAUUGCGCAAUGGGGGCAACCCUGACGCAGCAACGCCGCGUGAAGGAUGAAGGUUUUCGGAUUGUAAACUUCUUUUAUUAAGGACGAAACUUGACG
rnacentral:rRNA from 1 species